CACGUAGGCACCAAGCGUUAUCCGGAUUUAUUGGGCGUAAAGAGCUCGUAGGCGGUUCGGUAAGUCGGGUGUGAAAACUCUGGGCUCAACCCAGAGAGGCCACCCCGAUACUGCUGUGACUAGAGUGCGGUAGGGGGAGCGGGGAAUUCCUGGUGUAGCGGUGAAAUGCGCAGAUAUCAGGAGGAACACCAGCGGCGAAGGCGCCGCUCUGGGCCGUAACUGACGCUGAGGAGCGAAAGCAUGGGUAGCAAACAGG
rnacentral:rRNA from 1 species